GGUCUUGACAUCCUCUGACAACCCUAGAGAUAGGGCUUCCCCUUCGGGGGCAGAGUGACAGGUGGUGCAUGGUUGUCGUCAGCUCGUGUCGUGAGAUGUUGGGUUAAGUCCCGCAACGAGCGCAACCCUUGAUCUUAGUUGCCAGCAUUCAGUUGGGCACUCUAAGGUGACUGCCGGUGACAAACCGGAGGAAGGUGGGGAUGACGUCAAAUCAUCAUGCCCCUUAUGACCUGGGCUACACACGUGCUACAAUGGACAGAACAAAGGGUAGCGAGACCGCGAGGUUAAG
rnacentral:rRNA from 1 species